AUGAGGGAAAUGCAGGUGUACAGUGUGACAGCUACCCAGCUGCAGACCCUAGCUGGCUGCAGGUGGGGGGUCAGUGGGUGGGGCACAGCCUCCCAGGAGGCGUUUUUGUAUGUGCUUGUAACACUGUGUUAUGUGUUCGGCGGAGGGACCCAGCUGACCGUCCUAGGUCAGCCCACGUCCGCACCUUCGGUCACGCUCUUCCCGCCCUCCUCUGAGGAACUCGCAGCCAGCAAGGCCACCCUGGUGUGCCUCAUCAGUGAUUUCUACCCCAGCGGCGUGACGGUGGCCUGGAAGGCAGACGGCAGCCCCGUCACCCAGGGCGUGGAGACCACCAAGCCCUCCAAACAGAGCAACAACAAGUACGCGGCCAGCAGCUACCUGAGCCUGUCGCCUGACAAGUGGCAAUCUCACAGCAGCUUCAGCUGCCUGGUCACACACGAGGGCAAAACCGUGGAGAAGAAGGUGGUCCCCUCACAGUGCUCUUAGGUCCCUGAGACUUCCAGGGAUGGGGGCCUUCCUCUCCCAGAUACCCCUUUGCCAGCUCACCAUGCCCCCCUGAGUCCCCACCCAGGUUCUGCUCAGAGCAGGCAGGUCACAAUGCCAUCCCUGUUUAUUAUUUGCUCAAUAAAGAACUCAUCAUUUAUCAUCUGA